rnacentral:lncRNA from 1 species
GUUUGUAAGUUUUAUCCUUGGCUUCUCCUUCUUGGUCGGUUUGUUUUUCGGGCUCCACUGGUUCUUCUCCUUGGUUUGUAGGUAUAUUUUCUUUAGAAGCUUUGGACUCGCUCAUUGCUAGGUUAUGAGGCCCUUCGUAAGCGGUCCCACUUCGUAAUGAGAUAUCGUUAGCUUGCCCUCGAGGGUUGAGUUGAGGUUGCCCAGGGAAUUGUCCUCCAGGUGUAGUUUGUGGGGCUUGGUUUUGU